GUCCAGACUCCUACGGGAGGCAGCAGUGGGGGAUAUUGGACAAUGGGGGGAACCCUGAUCCAGCGACGCCGCGUGAGUGAAGAAGUAUCUCGGUAUGUAAAGCUCUAUCAGCAGGGAAGAAAGAAAUGACGGUACCUGAGUAAGAAGCACCGGCUAAAUACGUGCCAGCAGCCGCGGUAAUACGUAUGGUGCAAGCGUUAUCCGGAUUUACUGGGUGUAAAGGGAGCGCAGGCGGUGCGGCAAGUCUGAUGUGAAAGCCCGGGGCUCAACCCCGGGACUGCAUUGGAAACUACCGAACUAGAGUGUCGGAGAGGUAAGUGGAAUUCCUAGUGUAGCGGUGAAAUGCGUAGAUAUUAGGAGGAACACCAGUGGCGAAGGCGGCUUACUGGACGAUAACUGACGCUGAGGCUCGAAAGCGUGGGGAGCAAACAGGAUUAGAUACCCCGGUACC
rnacentral:rRNA from 1 species